GCAAAGUCCAGUGGGUAGACUGUUACUUCAUUAUGUGUAAUGUCAGGAUACCAUGAAGAUAUUCUGAACCUUGUUUGUUGGUAGACCAACUAGCAGAGGAGAUAGACUCAAUCAAGAUGCCCUAGAUCUGGGUCACCAAUGAAUGUCAAUUGCUCAGGUGGCCCUGGCUUGGGUGGCAGAGAGGUGGCUGGUGGCAGGGUGCUGGGUGUCUUGGUGUCUUGGCGUCUUGGCACUUUGUUGCGCUUGCAGCUCUUGUCUGGGCUUGGUGUGAGCAUGCUAGGCAAAACUAGGAUCAAUGUAUUUGGAAGAUACAGAGACAAAGAUUUAUGUCUCAACAAGCAGAACUAUCAGAAAUUAAACGGGCUGUCUUCAGAAGUAUUGAGUUUCCUUUCAUGAGAAGCCUUCAAGGGAAAGCCGAAUGUUCAUUUGUCAGGGGUAAUGUCGAAGGGAUCGAUCAUUUUAUGGGACCUCUGAAGAGCCUAGAACUUCUGAGAUUCGAUGAAUUCAAUGAAAAUUGAGUUUCAGCAAGACAGCAGCAGAGCUAAAAUCUACCAUCUUUGAGAAUGAAUUUGUGCUCUGGCAAUUGUUCAUGUUUUACAGACAUUAGCCAUUGACCAUGCAUUGAAGAUACUCUAGACUUAACAAAGUAUCUCCGAACCUGAUUGGCAUUCUGGGACCCCAAUCGGCCAAGCCCAGUCCUUAAAUUCCCUUUUCCUCAUUUUUCACCCAUUGUCACUGUCACUAGACAGUAGUGAUCUUGCGCCUGAUCCCUCUUUCCUAUCUGUCACCACCCCCCAGACUAACAGAGCAGACAUUCCAGAUCUUAUUUAUGAAGGCAAAGAAGAUGCACAAAUUUGGAAAUAAUAUAACAACACAAUAAAGGGCUUAUAAAAGUAAUGUGCUCAGUCCUAGACUGUAUGAUGCCUUAGCUUUGUGUAAUAAGAGCCUGGCAUAUAGAGAGAGGGCUUCAGUGUGCUUGGCUGACACAAAUUUCUCACCUGAGGAGUCUGCUUCCAAGGGAGUUCUUACAUGUUACAUGGGAGCAUGGACCAACAUUUUGUAACUGCCUCAUCAAAAAGCCACAUGGGGAACUGAACCACAGGGUUUUCUGAUUGACUGUAGAGACAUUCCAAAAAGUCCAUUAACCAGAUUCUCAUUCAUUUUACUAUUUCUUCAUUUAACUGUUUCACUAAUGCCAUCCAAUGAAAGAUGAUGCUUUAAGACCAAUGUGCAAUCCUGUGGAGAACCUUUGGUUUAUGUUCUUCUUCAUUCUAAGUGAAGCAGAUGAACCCAGAGGCUCUGAUCUUCUUGGGUUUAAGAGGUCAGGAAAAUAAACAGGUAGGAAUCUGGGAGUCAAGGUCCAUGCUAAGUUUCACAGCCAACUAAAUAUCAAUAUCCCAGAGCAAGGAAUGACCUUUGAUGAGCACUAUCUUGUAUUAAUAUAUCAUGAAAUAAUAGAGAGGUUGCAUUUGGAGAACCAAAAAAAAAAGUUCUUUCCCCCCUCAUCUUUAUUUCUUUUCAUCUACAGCCCACCAAACACAUAUUCCGAUGGUUCCAGAACAUGGAGGGCCUUAGAUUUCAGAAAAAGAAGUUUAGACCUUACUUGGUAGGCAAAGAAGGCAAAACCCAGAAGAGAGCAUAGAGACCCUAUGAUCCGGUGUCUUCAUUUUCAGAUAAGUGUAAAGAUUGGAUCCUGAUUAUAACAAUGAAGGUACUUAGCUCUUCCUUUAUUGUGAAGAUUAAAUUGUAAUCCCCUGUCUAUUUUUAGAUUUUAAUACCCAAAAGUGUUAACUCAGUAUUGUAAAAUGUAAAUUAUAUUUAUACUAAUAAGAUAUUAUAUUUUAUGAGGUUUAUUAAGGAUUAUUAGAAAUCAAGGAUAUAAAAUAAAAACCACAUGCUCAUGGCUGAUUAACCCAUUCAAAAUCCCUGCACUUAGCUUACUUGCUACAUCGUUGCAAUGGAAGAGAAGAGAGCAUGGUAGGCAUUACUGCCAGUUAAAUACCAAUUGUGAUCUCACCUACGUGGAGACUCAGGUGAGAUUAUGGGGAAUUCUGGGAAAUACCAAGGACUUCUGGGGAUUGAAGUCUAGGGUUCAAAAUCUCCCUUUUUACAUUUCCCCCUGAGGCCCAAGGAAGACUAGUCUCUCCGAUGGGUCUUUUAAACAUACCAAAUAUGCAAUUACAAUAAUUUGAGGAUAAGAGGAAAAGAGAACAAAACCAAUAAUUGCCAGGUGCAUUGACAAAAAGCCAGUUGGGGACAGUCCUCUUUGGCAUAAGAGUAUACAUAUAAAACAUUUCCAUUUUAUCUACAAAAAGGUGUUAACUAAUCACAAAAAGGUGUUAACUAACUACAAAAGGUGUGACACCCAUUUCAUACAUUGAGUGGGCAGUCCUGGAGAGGAGCACCUGCUGUGAUUGGUAGGUGUAAAAUUUAGGGGAAUUGACACAAGAGUAAAAGGUCUUUAAAUAGAGGAAACAGAGACACAGGGAGAUAUAGAUCAAAGGAUCAAUCACUUGGAGCUGGACUGGAGAUCAGUGACUUGGGCUUGGAAUGAAGAAGAGAGGCUGGAAGAGUCACUCAGAGUUGGAGUGAGGAGAGACACUUGAGGAGAGACUGGAAGACAGAUCCUCAGACUUGGAGUGAAGACACUUGGCUGUGGAACUGGACCCCUGGAGGAGCUUGUGUAGGAGAUCUCAAACUGCUUUCUUUUGAGAUGAUCACUGUGAUGAAAAAUCAGAAGCCCUGCAAAAUGACACAAAAAUUUCAGAAGACUUUAAUGCCUUUCUCUCAGAGCUAGGUAAAUGUAACAGAAAGAUGAAAAGAAAACAUGGAACUGAACAACUGUUGUUUAAAUUAUAUUCAAAAGACUAAUGGCAUGUUCUGAAUGUGAAUAUUAAAGAAAAUACAUAUUUCUAAUCACCACGUGUUACCUCCACAAAAACUGAAGAUUUGUAAAAAACAAACAGAAAGUUUAAAUAUAUUCUUUAUAAUUUAGAAUGCAAUAAAGAUAAUACUAGAGACACAAGUAAAUGACACAAAUGUAAAUAAAGAUUUAACAAUGGUUUCCUAAAGUGGGUUAUGGGAAAAAUCACAUAAAUAAUAAGUAAUUCCAUGAUUCGAGGUGAUAAUGAUAAGAUAAUACCCUAAAUUGCUGGGAUACGAUUAAAACAAUGCUGAGAAGAGAAAUUAUAUAUGUUGUUUUUAUAAUAUUUGAUUCAACAUAUGUUAACAAAAUAGAAAAGAGACAAUUAGUGAAUUGAGUAUGUCAAUUUAAGCUUAGAAAAUCAACAAAAGGGGGAAACUAGGUGGCACAGUAGUUGGAGAGCCGGUCCUGGUGUCAGGAGGAGCUGGGGUCAAAUAUGAUUUCAGACACUUCCCAGCUGUGUGACCCUGGGCAAGUCACUUAAUCCUGUUUGUCUACCGUUGGCCCUUCUGUCUUAGAGUUAUUACUAAAAUAGAAAGUAAGAGUUGUUUUUUUUUUCCUAAAGAAAAGAAAAACAUUAAAGAUAUAAAAGCUGCCCAAAAUGUAACAAAAUUAGUCCUAUUUGCAGACAACAUGAGGUUUACUUACAAAACUCUUAAGAAACAGCAGGAAAACUAAAUGAAAAUUCAACUUCAAUAAAGUAGCCAAACACAAAAUCAAUGCACAUAAUCACUAUCAUUUCUGUGACAAAAAUUGUAAUUUAUAUAUGAUAACAAAAAACCCAAGAGGAAAUAAUAGCAAGGGAAAUCUCAAUUUUAAAAGAGCACAAAAUGAAUUAAAAAUCUGAGAAUCAAUCCACUAGAAUACACUCAUGAUAUAUAGUUACAGUGUUACAUACUUUUCCAAGAAAUAAGGAAUGACAAAGAAUGAGAGAUAUUUAUUGUUUAGGAUUGAAUUGAUCCAAUAAAAUUAAAAAUAAUUAUGGCAUCUAAGUUGAUUUACAUCAUGAGGAUUUAAAUCAUAAGGAUUACUUUACAACAUAAGGAUUACUCUGCAUUUUACUGAACAAAAAAAGCCUAGGAGAGACAAAAAAUUCCUUGCAGGAAAACUAAGUUAUAUAGUCAGAGUAAGACCACCAGGAAUGGCCCCCCAAGCCCUCUUCUCUGUCAAAUAUCAAUUGACCUUCAAUUUCCUUCCCUUCAUUAAAAUGAAUCAGCACCAGUGCCUAUGGCUAGCCUCCUCUUUCCUUCCCCUAAUGUCUUAUCUAGCUAAUAUAGAUAAGUACCCUAUAAAAACCACCAGACUUUAUUGAUUUAAGAGUGGGUCCUCCCUUCAAGAUCCCAAUGAGAUUUCCAGUUCUAUCCAGGGGCCCAAGGGUCUUAACUUGUUUCUAUCAUUCUCCCAGCCUUUCAUUUGGUCACAAUCUUUUCUCAGUAAAGCUGAUUUGCUUUAUUGUCAUGUGACUAUCAUGUGCUGUUCCUUGGUGUUUGGAAUCUCCCUAAAUCAGUGUUAAGAUACAGUUAUAUGUAUAGAGUGAGGUAAAAUAAUAAAAUUCACUUGGAGGAAUAAAAGCUCUUUUUUUUAAUUCUCUGACUUGUUAAGCUCCAAUCCUAGCACUAUUGGGGAAAUUGCUUAAAGCUUAGGUUUGCUAAUGCCUAGGGUCUCCCCAUAGGAUGUAAUAGAAAGUAUUCAAUAUAUCAUAUGAAUCAUAGAUGUAAAAGCUAUUUAUUUCUUCUACACAAGAGGUGAUUAACAAAUAUGAGAUCCAUGAACAUUGUAUUAACAGGAAGACUUGAGGAAGGAAAGAA